UGAAGCCCAGAUCCUGGCCUCUCUGCAUAGCCCUAGGCUUUGGCCUUUUCCUGUCUGAGCACUUUUGGCUGACCUGCCUCCAAGCUGGACCACCACUGGCCAGCUCUCAUGAGCUCCAGGAGUUGUAUGCUGUGACUAUCCAGGAGCAAGCCUGCUCCGCGGUGGAGACGUUCAGACCCAGAAAAGCUCUGGGGAGAAUUAGUAGCAAGACUGUGAGGACACAUUCUGAGGUUGUAUCCUCAGCCUGGGAAGCAGGGCUGAGGGGACAGCUGUAGAUGAGCAGUCAGCAUUGCAGCUUCAUCAGCUAAAAGUGAUUUCACACAAAAUAAUGUGUCAGAGAUAAUUGCUCCUGGGAACAGAUCCCAAUUCCAGCCCGCAAUCAAAGAGCAGGUCAUGGCUGCCACUGGGUUUGCACCCACCUGAGGUCAGGAUGAAGGUUCCGGAAGCAGAGAGACAGGUCCUGCUGCUACAAUCCUCCCCUGCACUAAAGGGCCUCCUCAAGAAAGGUCUCUGAGUGCAGAAAGGGCUUGAGACAUAAGGAAACCUGUACCUGGUAACAGAAAACAAAUGUGAGAGCUGGGUGUGGUGCACACCUGUAAUCCCAGUACUGGAGCGGCAGAAACAGCAGGAGAAUCCAAAGCUCAAGGGCACCCAUCCAUCACUGCCCACAUAAGGAUAUGGCCAGGAUAGGUUACCGAGAGGGAAGAGAAACAAGGCAGGGAAGGGAGGAGGAAAUUCGGGGGUGGGUGGCUUAAAUGGUAGGAGGAUGUCCCCCACUAUAAUCAAGAGUGUGAAGGCAGAAAGGUCUGGGCUUCUGCAGCAGCAAUUCUGAUAUUUGAUAGGUGUACAUUUGUACCCCAGGCUGGCCUGGAACUCCCUAAGUGGCUGAGGGUGACCUUGAACUUCUGAUCCUACUGCCUUCAUCUUCCCAGUGCUGGGAUUAAAGUUGUGUUCCCCAUGCUAGGUGGUGCUGCGCUGGGGACCAAGCACAGCGUUGUAUCCUGGGCAAGUGUCCUAACAAGUGAGCUACCACCUCAGCUCUGUCGUGUUUAGUUGUUUUUUAAUAUUUAUUUUUAUUUUAUGCAUAUGUGUGUGUGCUCAAGUACAUGUAUGUGCACAUAUGUGUUCAGGAGCCCUCAGAGUUCAGAAGAGGCAGGGACCCUCCUAGAACUGGAGUUACGGAGGGUUGUGAGCCACCUGUGGGUCCUAAGGGACAGAGCCUGGGUCCUCCAGAAUCUCUGUGUAGCCUCGGUUGUCCUGGAACUCCAUCUGUAGACCAGGCUGGCAGUGAACCCACAGCAAUCUGCGUGUCUCUGUCUCCCAAGUGCUGGGAUUAAAAGUGUGUGCCACCACU